CUGGCAGAGGAGGGAAAUGGCACAAAGAGGCAGCGUCAGUGCCAUAUUGGUUUGGAAAAUCAAUAAGAAGAGCUCAUUUUAUCCCAGUGUAUCUCUGCAUUUGCCAUUCAGUGGCUCAUUUGAAAAGGUGCCAACUGGCUGCCUGGGAGCCUGGAAACUGCAUCGUUUGAAAACACUUAAAGACGGUGCUGGUGGAGAAAGGAGAGGGCAUUGCUGAAGGCCACCUCUUGGGAGGGGAGCCAGUGUGCAAGGAUCCUGCAAGACUUGGAAAGUGCAAUGAAGCCCUGGGAAAGUCUCACUGCUUGGCAUCUGCAUGCCACUAGCUUGUGGUCACUCAUACGUUGUUGAGGACUUUGAUUCCCAGUUGUGAACUGAAGUUUAAUUAGAAAAGAACUAGUUAACAAUACAGUAAAGGUCUCAGACCUCUCCAGCAGCUUCCUACUCUUCGAAGUAUUUCUCCAAUCUCCAGAAGGAACCAGAAAAUCAACAUUUGUUAAAGCAGUGUAAUAUACUUCAAUGCGUAAUACUCCAAACAUUUGAAGGCCAAUUCCUCAUUCAGGCACAGGUGCCAAGAUGCCUGAUUAAAACACUUUCUUCCAUCCCCUCUUAAGAUCCAUGGUUUGGAAAGAUGCCUCAGCACAUCUCCAGCAGAGAUUUAUCCUCCUACUCUAUUCAAGGAAACAAAGUGACUUCAGCUUCCUUGUUUAACGAAAUAAAAUCAGACACAAACCCAACCUGGCAGGAUAAAAAUAUCUGUAUGUAUAAAGAGCAAGUUUCUUCUGCUUUAGAGCGGGAAUAUGAAAUUACGCUGUAAAUUAAAUUACAGAAAGGGAGAAUAAUAUGAACUGAAAAAAGAUUAGUUCCAAGGCUGAGUUUCAAUCAUUGGCUUUCCUGGAUUUUGCUGGGCCUGCGAGUCAGACUGAGCUGCCCUCAGACAGACACAGGGCCUGGCUAAUUAAUCUCUCCCUUCUUCUAUAAUGAAUAGGGCCAACAAAGAGGAGCAGCAAAACAGAGUGAGAGCAAGGGAGAAAGAAAUCUGCUGGAAGCUGAAGCCAGAGAGGGCAAGGGAGCAGCAUCAGCAGGCAGGGUUGUGGGAGGUUUGCUAGCAGACUGCCCAGAGACCCCAUAAAAAGCUGGGAUGUAGGGAUGAGGAUGCUGGGGGCUUGGUGCUGUGCUAGGUAGGAAUAAAGGAAGAACAUUAGGCAUCCAGACAAGAUGAUUAACUCAGAGUUGAUAGGGAAGGAGCUGAUCAAAUUAAUUGCCUAUGUGGAGGAAGACUAGCCAAAUCCAUUUAGAGAGGAGGAGACUGGCACUGAGGGUACCACAUGGAGCAGUCAGCUUUUGUGCCCCUUAUGGCAUUUGCUGCUGUGAUGGAGGGGGCAGGGGGUGCCCAAAGAACCCCGGUGUAGGCAUGAAAGCAUAAACUGAUGGAUUCUCUGAAGCUCUAUCUCAUUUCAUUCAAAUACAUCUUUUAUUCAGUUGUACUUGAAUUUCCCUGCAGAAUAAAGGGACUCCUAUCAACACUGCUGGGAGAGGAAUUUGGAAGGUCUAAUAGAAAUAUCUGAUUUUCAAGGAAGCUGUGUACCUCAGCUGAGCUUUUAGCACCCUGUAUGCUCUAGAAACCAGGCCAACCUCUGUCCUAGUGGGGCUGCCAGAGUGGAAAGAGGAAGCAACAAGCAGAUGACAUUUGGCUGCAUUCACUGGGGCACGUCCAGCUCCAGGCAGGCUGGCAUCCAGUACCAAGGUCAGCUCUCAGACUGCUCACAGGCGUUGUCUGAAGGUACCAAUGGGAAGAGCCAUGGCAUGGACUGAGGCUGUGAAAAGCUGAGGCUCUAUCUAGGCUUGUUGCUAUUCCAGAGAGGAAGAAAAAAUAUUACUAUUAUUUUCCAACCGAUUCUGUACUGCAGAGCAUCUUGCAUUUGCUUCAGACAGCAGGACCAGAGUCCUGCAUGGGAUGAACCUGAGGCUGCAGCAUGGUGGAUGUAAAGUCAAUCCAGGUGGAGAUCUUGGACAUAGAGUAUAGGUUUUGCAUAGAGUAUAGGUUUUGGGCGGUCCUAUGUGGAGCCAGAAGUUGGACUCAAUGAUCCCUGUAGGUCCCUUCCAAAUUGUAACUGAUUCAAUUUUAUAGCUCUGCUUGGAAACCAGUCCUGGUUCCUUCCAUCCCUCUGCUAGUAAACAAUCCUUCCCAUCACCUUGAUCAGAAGUAGAAGAAAAGUUUCCCCAUAUAUAGUCCUGAGCCUUUACCCCUCAUUCUUUCCUCCAGUCCUCCGUUCAUGCUGUUGCCUGCCCCGAAGCUGAAACAUCCACCAGGUUCUCUUGGUGCUUUCU
ensembl:lncRNA